rnacentral:SRP_RNA from 1 species
AUGUGGGUCCUGUGCGAUGGGGCUCCAUGAACCAUGUCAGGCGGGGAACCGAGCAGCAUUAAGUGGCCCGCCCUGUGCGCCGCAGUCAACCUGCAUUCG